rnacentral:tRNA from 1 species
UUAAUUGAAGCCAAAAAGAGGCAUGUCAUUGUUAAUGAUAAAAUUGAAUUAUAUUCCAAUUAAA